UUGCAUUUCUAAUGGCAGGUAUCUCUUAAGAUUCCGUAUAAAUAUUUUGUCUUUUACUAAAAAUUUCCGUGGAGAUGCAAUAU
rnacentral:snRNA from 1 species